UUUUGGACAACGGGUCAGAUCUUCAGCCUAUCCACUAGUGAUUUUCCAAUUAAAGAAGUUAACUGGACAUUUUCAUUAGCUGCCCAAGAAAAGUGAUAUACAUGCACAGAUUCCCUUUUGCAGUCAGUAAGUCUUGAUCCAGAUCUUCCACCUGUGCAAGUCGUCAACAUACCUCACUGGCUUGAGCAUCAAACACCUAUUACAAGUGUCCACGCACACGAAAAUCAGCUUAAAAAGCAGGCAGAGCCAUGCAGGGUGGCUGGUAAAUUAAUGAUCGGAGGGUACUAGUGAGCUACAAGUGAGGACAUGCAGAAGGGGAAGUUUGCUCUGCUGAGAAGCCUGACAGACAUGUUGGACUUCCUGCUGCAUGAAACGUUCUCCAGCAUCAUUACCCAGGAGUGGACUAAAAUUCAGGAACCCAUUUUUAACUGUACAUGGAUUGGAAGUUGCCCCUCAGCGUCAGAACUUCCUCCCCCUUGAGGCCUACCAGAGACAUCUUCCAGAAGCACUAUAAGACCACCUUAUUUGGGCAAGUAUUUAGCAAGCAAGGCUAAUCUGGGAUAUUAUUUAGGGAGUUUUUGUUUUAUAUC
rnacentral:lncRNA from 1 species